rnacentral:miRNA from 1 species
UGGAGGUGUCGUUGCCAAGGA